CUUGGUUAAACAGCUCUUUUAAUCUGAGGUGGCAAAGACAGGCUUUUCCCUUCAUCCUUAGGCUACAGGCACCCCAGGAUGCUGCACAGAGUGCAGGAUGCACCCCCUUAAAGCGCUGCCUUGUUUGAAGGGAGAAAAUGGAGAGAAAGAAGGAGAAGAAAAGCACAUAUGUCAUUGCUGCAAAGCAGUGGAAUCUCCCAGGUGCUCUGUUGAAGCCUGCACUUAACCCAUUGCAGAUAUCUACAGAUAUCAGAUUGAAGUGUCUGCGGUGUUGUUGCUCACACAAAGGGCCACCUCAGAGCAGUGCUCAGAGGUCCACAGGUGCUGAGGCUUGCCCUUGGGACUGUGAGGGC